AUUUGAGAUGGCCUCUCGCCCUAUUCAGUGUAACAGCUGUGGUAGUGGGUUUGGUCGCUCGCAUUUAAAUUGGAAGGGUAAUGGUGGACCGCACUUCUCCCUUAGUAGGACGUUGCGACCUGUCAAAUAAUAUCCUAAGUAUUUGGCUAAUUUGUCUGUUUUUAGGCAGUACUGAAAGGUAUUUCCUUUAACAGUUUUAGCCGUUUAGAUACUGGAUAUAAUUGACAGUAACGAAUCAUGGUGUUGAGCCACUUACUUUGUAAGUGUCCUUUAUGGCUGUUUGCAAGUGGGUUGGUUAAUUAGUUUUAGUCGGAUUUCGGUCCGUCUAACUAUUCCGCCUACUGUUGGUAAACUGUUCCUUGGACAGUGCUUAUAACACCGGUCGGCAGCGAUUCAGGUUCAGGCUCUUAUCCGACCCGUCUUGAAACACGGACCAAGGAGUUUAGCGUGUACGCAAGUCAUUGGGUGUAUAAAACCCAAAGGCGCA
rnacentral:rRNA from 1 species